AGUCCCACAUCGGUGGAUUAAAGGAUACUUGGUCUUCUUAUAUAGUCUUGGAUAAUCCUUCCCUCAUGAGCUAACUUUUGAGGUUGAGUUAGGAACAAGGUCCAUUUCUUUAUCCUGAUAUCAAAGCACUAGCUCGAUCCAAAUCACAUUUUUCUUAACUUGCUUUCUCUGCAAUUUCUGCAAAUCAUGGCUGAAAUUUCAACUACGGAUGCUACUAAAACUAAUAGUAAU
rnacentral:lncRNA from 1 species